GGUUUCGUGGCGCAAUGGCAGCGCGUUAGUUUCCGGUACUAAAGGUUGGGAGUUCGAGUCUCCCCGGAAUCG